UGACACAGUCACAGUGUAGAGGCUGC
rnacentral:piRNA from 1 species